UACGUAGGGUCCAAGCGUUGUCCGGAGUUACUGGGCGUAAAGCGCGCGCAGGCGGCGGUGCUGGCCCGGCGUGAAAGCCCCCGGCUCAACCGGGGAGGGUCGUCGGGGACCGCACCGCUUGAGGGCGGUAGGGGCUGGUGGAAUGCCUGGUGUAGUGGUGAAAUGCGUAGAGAUCAGGCGGAACACCUGGGGCGAAGGCGGCCAGCUGGGCCGUCCCUGACGCUGAGGCGCGAAGGCGUGGGGAGCGAACGGG
rnacentral:rRNA from 1 species